AGCAUAAGAGCUCCUUUGAUAAACUCGGGAGGUGAAAGUAAAGCAUGUGAACCCUACGGACACUGUCACCUACUCCCUCCUGCUGUAGGUUUGUUUUAAGAAAAUCUUCAUUCUUCUAUUUGACCUGAUUGAGGCAGAGUCUUCAGCAGCACAGAGGCCAUGUGAAGACGCAGUGAGAAGGCAGCUAUCUGCAACCCAAGAAAAGAGACCGUAUCAUAACCCGGUCCUGCUGGAACCUUGAUAUUGGACUUCCAGUCUCCAGAACUGUGAGAAAUAAAUGCCUGCGGUUUAAGACAGCAGUCUGUGGGA